rnacentral:rRNA from 1 species
CCUACGGGUGGCAGCAGUAGGGAAUUUUCGUCAAUGGGCGCAAGCCUGAACGAGCAAUGCCGCGUGAACGAGGAAGGUCUUCGGAUCGUAAAGUUCUGUUGAAGGGGAAAAAGAGCGGAGAGAGGAAAUGCUUUCUGAUUGAUAUUACCCUUCGAGGAAGUCACGGCUAACUACGUGCCAGCAGCCGCGGUAAUACGGAGGGUGCGAGCGUUAAUCGGAAUUACUGGGCGUAAAGCGCUCGUAGGCGGUAUGUCAAGUCAAGGGUGAAAUCCCCGCGCUCAACGUGGGAACUGCCUUUGAAACUGGCAAACUGGAGUGUGUGAGAGGAUAGUGGAAUUCCAGGUGUAGGAGUGAAAUCCGUAGAUAUCUGGAGGAACAUCAGUGGCGAAGGCGACCAUCUGGCACAUAACUGACGCUGAGGAGCGAAAGCGUGGGUAGCAAACAGGAUUAGAUACCCUUGUAGUC